AUUGAACGCUGGCGGCAUGCUUUACACAUGCAAGUCGAACGGUAACAGGGAGCUUGCUCCGCUGACGAGUGGCGAACGGGUGAGUAAUGCAUCGGAACAUGCCCAGUCAUGGGGGAUAACUACGCGAAAGCGUAGCUAAUACCGCAUACGCCCUGAGGGGGAAAGUGGGGGGUCUUAGGACCUCACGUGAUUGGAGUGGCCGAUGUCAGAUUAGCUAGUUGGUGAGGUAAAGGCUCACCAAGGCGACGAUCUGUAGCGGGUCUGAGAGGAUGAUCCGCCACACUGGGACUGAGACACGGCCCAGACUCCUACGGGAGGCAGCAGUGGGGAAUUUUGGACAAUGGGCGCAAGCCUGAUCCAGCCAUGCCGCGUGAGUGAAGAGGGCCUUCGGUUGUAAGACGUCUUUCGUCAAGGAAGGAAAACGGACGAAGGUUAAAUACCGUUUA
rnacentral:rRNA from 1 species